GACGGAGGAUGCAAGCGUUAUCCGGAAUUAUUGGGCGUAAAGCGUCCGCAGGUGGCUGUUCAAGUCUGCUGUCAAAGCGCAGGGCUUAACUCUGUACAGGCGGUGGAAACUGAAGAGCUAGAGUAUGGUAGGGGUAGAGGGAAUUCCCGGUGUAGCGGUGAAAUGCGUAGAUAUCGGGAAGAACACCAGUGGCGAAGGCGGCUACCUGGCCCAUUCUUGACGCUGAGGCGCGAAAGCUAGGGGAGCGAACGGG
rnacentral:rRNA from 1 species